AUUGGUUUCGGUGAGCAUGGUGACGUACUACUUGUUACUGAGUAAAUCUAAUGCAACUGGUAAUUGUUCCACAACACAAAUGAACAUCUCUGGUCGCAUAUUUCUAGAUAAAAAAACAAAAUAUUAAUUAAAAUAAAAAUCAAAUGGCAAAAUAAAAAAAAAUAUAGUCAUUUAACUAUAGUUUCAUGUAGAAAGUAUUUACUAACCACUCAUAAAUAAAAUUUUGACAAUACGUUUUAUUUAACAGAGUUAGGUAUUCGGACUGAAAUAUUGGGACUAAAACCACCAAAGAAUUUGAAACUAUUGUUUCAAAUCUUUGGCGUGAAAUACCCCCAACGAUUUCCUUUGAAGGUCUUCAACCUCGUAUAGACUAUUACCUACAGGUCGUACAACUCUACAUUUUAAAAAUUUCUUCGCUAGCUUAGCAUUGAAACUGGUCUUAAAGUCGCUCUGCUGGAAAUUGCGACGAUAAACCUCCUGACCAGGUACAAACUUGACUUGCCGGCAGCGUGUAUUAUAGGAUUUCUCAUUCCUUAAGUAGGCUCUAUGCAGAUUGUCACGAAUUUUCUGCCUGAUUAAAUCCAUUUUCACGGAUUUCGGUAUUAUGUUGAAUUCAGGAUCGCUUAGACUUUGUAAUUUCUUAGCCAGUUUAUAGAUACUCCCAUGAGAAACCAUAUUCAUGCCAAAAAGCGCAAAAUAAGGCGUAACACCAAUGGACGUUUGAACAGACGAUCUUAGCGAGAAUUCAAUUUCUGAUAAGUACUUAUCCCAUUCCGUGUGAUCAUGUUGAAGAUAAGAUCUGAUUGCAGACAGAAUGGACUGGUUCACCCGCUCCGAUGCGUUGGCUUGUGGCGAGUGGGUGGCCGUCCGCACAUGUUUCACGCCAAAAUUGUUUACCAUAUCGAUGAAUUCUUUGCUGACGAACUGCUUACCAUUAUCGGACAGAAUUAUCUCCGGUGUUCCAAAUUUAUGAAAAACCUCUGAAAUCAGGAAUUUUAUAACGUUCUUCGUGUUAGCUUUAGCCAUUGCUUUAAGCAGGACAAAUUUUGUAAGAUGGUCUAGGACUAUAAAUAUGAAUGAAUUCCCGUUCUUAGAGCGCGGAUACGGACCCAAAAAAUCUAUAAAAAUCUUUUGGAACAGACGUUCCGUUUGCGUUUCAGCUCCCAUCGGUGGUCUUAAAAUUGCAUUAGUUGGUUUUGUUUCUCGGCAAAUUUGGCAAUUUGCUACGAAGGAACGAACCUGUACGUUCUGGUUUGGCCAAUAGAAGUAUUCUUUUACCCUCCGAAGCGUUUUGCCGAAUCCUCCGUGCUAAGCUUGAGGUGGGUUGUGACACUUCUCAAUAAUCUCGUGUGUCAAUUCAAGUGGUACCCAGAGCUUCCAUGCGAAAUCUUCGUUCAGUGGGACUCCAUCAUAAGGCAAGACUCUUUUAUAGACCAGGUCAUCGAUCACUUUGGCGAUUAAAUCCAGGUAAUGUUGUUCUUUAAAAUAUUCGGAAUCAAAAUUAAUAAUGUUGUUUACCUCCGCAGAAAGCUCUUCCAUGUAAUACCUCGACAAGUUGUCGGGUACUAUAUUUUUAGAACCUGGCCUGUGUUCGACGGUGAAGGCAAAUGCUUGAAGAUGCAAGCUCCAUCUGGCAAGUCGACCGCUCAAGUCUUUGUGGGACAUCAACCAUUUAAGGCUGCUGUGGUCAGUGAUGACUGUAAAAGGCAUCAACUCGAUGUAAGGCCUAAAUUUUUUAAUGGCCAUUACCACAGCCAAACACUCUCUCUCAGUGACCGAAUAGUUUUUCUGGGCGCUGGUCAACUUAUGAGAGAAGAAAGCGAUGGGAUGCUCUCCGUCAUCUUCGUCCUUCUGAAAUAAGACAGCUCCUAAUCCAAUAUCUGAGGCAUCACACUGCACAUAAAAGUGCUUGUUAAAAUUGGGAUGAGUGAGCACUGGUGCUGUUGUAAGGGCUGUUUUCAGUCUAUCGAAAGCUUCUCUGGCCUCAUCGGGAAAAUUGAAAGUUUUUCCUUUCUUAAGGGUGUUGAAGAUAGGAGUAGAAAUCGUCGCGUAGUCUGGGAUGAAGCGCCUGUACCAGCCAGUAGCUCCCAUGAAACUCCUGACCUGCCUAGCGGUUUUCGGGUACCGCAACUCUUUGAAGCAGAACUUCGAUUUCCCUACAUUUAUGGUCAGACCUGCCGAAUCCAAACAAUGCGCCACUCGAUCCAGCAAUUCCAGGUGGGUUUUAAAGUCUGGAGAUACGAUCAAAAGAUCGUCUAGAUAGACAAAGACUCUAUCACGAAGUGCUGAGGGGAUCACUUUAUCCAUCAGACGGCAUAACCUUUGAGCUGCAUUACACAACCCAAAAGGCAUUACCGUAAAAUGGUAAAGUGGUCGUCCUGGCACCGUAAAUGCAGUCUUUUCUCUACUAGAUGCAUCUAGUGGUAUCUGCCAGAACGCGUCUUUAAGAUCUACGCUUGAUAUAAAAUAUGUGUCCCCUAACCGGCUGAGAAGACCUUCGAUGUGCGGCAGAGGAUAGGCGUCCUUAAUCGUGAGGGCAUUCAGCUUACGAGCGUCCAAGCACAAACGGUUCUUCUCGCCCCUACGGACGAGAGUAACCGGAUGGCUCCAAGGACUCUCGCUCUGCUCAAUGACCCCAAGAUUAAGCAUCCUAUCAAGCUCUGCGUACAUCAACUUCUGCACCGGAAUCGCAUCGCGAGUGUCGAUUGUAUGGGAUUCGAGGGAAGUCUGACCAAGUCCCUUCUUUGUAAAACAUGGAAAUUUUGUUACUAUAAUAUCUAAUGACGCCUUCUGACUCGGAGUGAGUACAUGUGUCUUAACAUUAUCAUUCAUUUCUUCGGACUCCGGACAGAGACCGACAUCAUUAGUAGUUAGGCUACACAAAUUGGGAAAUAAACCGAAACUUCUCAUGAAAUCUACCCCUAAAAAUAGUGGUCUAUUUAGAGAUGGCACCAAAUAAAAGGUGAUCUCUUGUGACCUAUUGUUGAAAUUUAUCUGGACCUUUACACGACCUACUAUCUUGUGAGGACUACCAUCAGCUGUCUUAAUGUGUGAAGAAAAGUUCAGAAUUUGUAAGCCUGUGUUCUCAAGGAACUCCAGGCACCCUUUCCCUAAACAUGAGACGGUGGCUCCACUGUCUAAAAGACCUUCUAUGGGCACGCCAUUAAUAGGUACCUUUAAAUAAAAACGGGCGUCUUCACCCUCAUAUAAACAAGCUGACAUAAUUUCAUUCCUAACUCUCUUUCUCAUUUUAUACCUAAUCCUAGCCUUUUUUAUCUUAUCAGAGACCUGCCCAAAAAUUCUAACCCUGGCCUCAUUAUACUCCUUCACUCUUUGAUGGAGUGGCUUAAUUUCACGAAUUUUAGUUUUUUCUACAAUCGGAAUCUGUUUAUUAGGGUUAGUUAAAAUUUGGGUGGGCCUACACACUGUGACUGACUGGUUAACCGGGAUUACGUCUGGGUCGAACGAGUCUCCCCCGUCAGGGACUCGCUCACCACCUGGUUUCCCUGACAUUUUGGGCACUUUGGGGACUACGUUGUCUCGGCCACAUCGAAAGCAAAAUAUACGUCUAUUAGGCGAAGGGCAAUCCACGAAACUAUGGCCUGGCUGCUUGCAAUUCCAGCAAGUAUACCGGCUGUUAUUGGCUAAGGCGUCGAUUUCGAGGAUUGAUACAGGCACUUCAUCUCCCAAUUGGAGUUCAUGGACUCGAGCUGGAACGGGUUGUCUAGACUGGAAAGUCUGCAUCUGACUGUUGAUUAAAUUUUCGGCUCUUUUCGCCUGUUGACAGAACUCAUUGAGACUGGAAGUGGUCACUGAAAAUAGUAAAUGUGACAAUGAUGGCUUUAUAUUACUUUUCAUAAUCUCCACUAGGUCUCGCUCAGUAUAGGGGGUUCGCUGCUGAUUUCUUAGCUUCAUUACCCCAUUAUAAAAACUCUCAAAACUCUCCUGAGGCAACUGGCGUCUGUCCAUAAUUUGCUUCUGCAGCUGGAAUUCGCUUUCAUAACGCUUAAACUGGGUCAGAAAAGCUCUAACCAAAUCUUCCCAGGUCUGUAUUGCUGUGAGCUUACGCAAGUUCCAGUACCAGUCCAGUGCUGGUCCUUCCAGCAAUACAUGAAAGCUUCGUAAAAGCUCAUUGAAGGGACAGCUGUAAUCUUGCCUCAAGACAUCCACUCGGAAAAUGAAAUCCUCCGCACUCAUGGACUUCGUCGACCCAUCAAAUUUUAUGCCCCAUUUGGACAAAUCUACCUUCCGCUGGGUGGAAAAUGGGUGCUCGUUUGGCAAACUAGGAGCUUGUGAAGACUGGGUUGGUGGAAAGACUGGAUUAUAGUUUAGGUUUGGAGGUGGAUACUGCGGCAACUGGUUAGCCGGCUGAGAGGCAUAUGGAAACUGGUUAAUAUUAACAGGUGUUUGUGGUGCCGCUGGCUGUGGAGGUGAUGCUUGCGAAACAGCACGUGAUAUGGCUUGAGAAAGCUCCUGCCGUAUAGCUUGAAUUUGUCUCUGCAUCUCCUCCCGUAUAAAAUUACACAUGUACAACCAUACCAAAACAAAACAUAAGGAAUUGGUGUUGCCAGAGUGGUAGCGGCGCUGGUAUGCUCGCGUUUGCAAGGCUUGGAGCUCGCCGGAUGGGGGUGGUUCUUGCUGCCACACUAGGCAUCUACACACACACAUAAAAAAAAAUUCAUACCAGCUUAAAAUAAAAUGAUAAAAAAAAGGAAGGGGCACCGAGUAGGUUUUUGUCUGUCUCCCUGCUGAAACAUACCUACGACCUAUAAUGGCUGGCAGAUGUUGUGCCAGGUAAAGCCCUCCCACUCGGGAUUGGAUAAUCCCGCCAUGACAUCCUAAUACUAGGGAUGUCCCAAAAUUUACCCUGCAAACUUUUCCUUUCCUUACUUACCGCCGCUUAUUUCGUUUAGCCGAUCAUUUCAAAUGAAAAGAUUCUUAAAAAUUUCAAUUAAACAUUUAAAGCAAAAGAAGUUUUAAUAAAGUUAAUUUAGAAUUUAAUUUAAUUUUACAAAUUUUUAAUUUAAUUAGAAUUUCAAUUUUUAGUUUUAAACAUUAUUUUUUGUUUUAAUAAAAAUUUUUAUAAACAAUUUUCAGCUUUAUUUUUAAUUUUUUUAGUUUUAGAUUUAUGGAUUUGAUUUUAUGUGUAAGAAACUAAUAUUUUGACAAUUUUCUGUUUCGUUUGAGGAUGAACGGGAUGCAAUUCUAGAGCUGGAAGAUUUCUUUUGGCGGAUAAGGCUUUCCUGUCCGUCCGUAUUAGGGUCCGUUCGGGUGAACCAGGUUUUUCUUUCUCUUUUUUUUAUAAAUAUAUAUGCCGAAGGCCACCUACAAUCUUAAACUCACGCGUUACUUUAUCUGAGGCCUGAGCUCAACCCUGUUCGCGCACGUUUGGAAACAAAAAAAACCCCACAAACGGACUGAAAUCGAUUUGAUGAACGAUAAAUAAAAAUUUGGGUGGGCCUACACACUGUGACUGACUGGUUAACCGGGAUUACGUCUGGGUCGAACGAGUCUCCCCCGUCAGGGACUCGCUCACCACCUGGUUUCCCUGACAUUUUGGGCACUUUGGGGACUACGUUGUCUCGGCCACAUCGAAAGCAAAAUAUACGUCUAUUAGGCGAAGGGCAAUCCACGAAACUAUGGCCUGGCUGCUUGCAAUUCCAGCAAGUAUACCGGCUGUUAUUGGCUAAGGCGUCGAUUUCGAGGAUUGAUACAGGCACUUCAUCUCCCAAUUGGAGUUCAUGGACUCGAGCUGGAACGGGUUGUCUAGACUGGAAAGUCUGCAUCUGACUGUUGAUUAAAUUUUCGGCUCUUUUCGCCUGUUGACAGAACUCAUUGAGACUGGAAGUGGUCACUGAAAAUAGUAAAUGUGACAAUGAUGGCUUUAUAUUACUUUUCAUAAUCUCCACUAGGUCUCGCUCAGUAUAGGGGGUUCGCUGCUGAUUUCUUAGCUUCAUUACCCCAUUAUAAAAACUCUCAAAACUCUCCUGAGGCAACUGGCGUCUGUCCAUAAUUUGCUUCUGCAGCUGGAAUUCGCUUUCAUAACGCUUAAACUGGGUCAGAAAAGCUCUAACCAAAUCUUCCCAGGUCUGUAUUGCUGUGAGCUUACGCAAGUUCCAGUACCAGUCCAGUGCUGGUCCUUCCAGCAAUACAUGAAAGCUUCGUAAAAGCUCAUUGAAGGGACAGCUGUAAUCUUGCCUCAAGACAUCCACUCGGAAAAUGAAAUCCUCCGCACUCAUGGACUUCGUCGACCCAUCAAAUUUUAUGCCCCAUUUGGACAAAUCUACCUUCCGCUGGGUGGAAAAUGGGUGCUCGUUUGGCAAACUAGGAGCUUGUGAAGACUGGGUUGGUGGAAAGACUGGAUUAUAGUUUAGGUUUGGAGGUGGAUACUGCGGCAACUGGUUAGCCGGCUGAGAGGCAUAUGGAAACUGGUUAAUAUUAACAGGUGUUUGUGGUGCCGCUGGCUGUGGAGGUGAUGCUUGCGAAACAGCACGUGAUAUGGCUUGAGAAAGCUCCUGCCGUAUAGCUUGAAUUUGUCUCUGCAUCUCCUCCCGUAUAAAAUUACACAUGUACAACCAUACCAAAACAAAACAUAAGGAAUUGGUGUUGCCAGAGUGGUAGCGGCGCUGGUAUGCUCGCGUUUGCAAGGCUUGGAGCUCGCCGGAUGGGGGUGGUUCUUGCUGCCACACUAGGCAUCUACACACACACAUAAAAAAAAAUUCAUACCAGCUUAAAAUAAAAUGAUAAAAAAAAGGAAGGGGCACCGAGUAGGUUUUUGUCUGUCUCCCUGCUGAAACAUACCUACGACCUAUAAUGGCUGGCAGAUGUUGUGCCAGGUAAAGCCCUCCCACUCGGGAUUGGAUAAUCCCGCCAUGACAUCCUAAUACUAGGGAUGUCCCAAAAUUUACCCUGCAAACUUUUCCUUUCCUUACUUACCGCCGCUUAUUUCGUUUAGCCGAUCAUUUCAAAUGAAAAGAUUCUUAAAAAUUUCAAUUAAACAUUUAAAGCAAAAGAAGUUUUAAUAAAGUUAAUUUAGAAUUUAAUUUAAUUUUACAAAUUUUUAAUUUAAUUAGAAUUUCAAUUUUUAGUUUUAAACAUUAUUUUUUGUUUUAAUAAAAAUUUUUAUAAACAAUUUUCAGCUUUAUUUUUAAUUUUUUUAGUUUUAGAUUUAUGGAUUUGAUUUUAUGUGUAAGAAACUAAUAUUUUGACAAUUUUCUGUUUCGUUUGAGGAUGAACGGGAUGCAAUUCUAGAGCUGGAAGAUUUCUUUUGGCGGAUAAGGCUUUCCUGUCCGUCCGUAUUAGGGUCCGUUCGGGUGAACCAGGUUUUUCUUUCUCUUUUUUUUAUAAAUAUAUAUGCCGAAGGCCACCUACAAUCUUAAACUCACGCGUUACUUUAUCUGAGGCCUGAGCUCAACCCUGUUCGCGCACGUUUGGAAACAAAAAAAACCCCACAAACGGACUGAAAUCGAUUUGAUGAACGAUAAAUAAAAAUUUGGGUGGGCCUACACACUGUGACUGACUGGUUAACCGGGAUUACGUCUGGGUCGAACGAGUCUCCCCCGUCAGGGACUCGCUCACCACCUGGUUUCCCUGACAUUUUGGGCACUUUGGGGACUACGUUGUCUCGGCCACAUCGAAAGCAAAAUAUACGUCUAUUAGGCGAAGGGCAAUCCACGAAACUAUGGCCUGGCUGCUUGCAAUUCCAGCAAGUAUACCGGCUGUUAUUGGCUAAGGCGUCGAUUUCGAGGAUUGAUACAGGCACUUCAUCUCCCAAUUGGAGUUCAUGGACUCGAGCUGGAACGGGUUGUCUAGACUGGAAAGUCUGCAUCUGACUGUUGAUUAAAUUUUCGGCUCUUUUCGCCUGUUGACAGAACUCAUUGAGACUGGAAGUGGUCACUGAAAAUAGUAAAUGUGACAAUGAUGGCUUUAUAUUACUUUUCAUAAUCUCCACUAGGUCUCGCUCAGUAUAGGGGGUUCGCUGCUGAUUUCUUAGCUUCAUUACCCCAUUAUAAAAACUCUCAAAACUCUCCUGAGGCAACUGGCGUCUGUCCAUAAUUUGCUUCUGCAGCUGGAAUUCGCUUUCAUAACGCUUAAACUGGGUCAGAAAAGCUCUAACCAAAUCUUCCCAGGUCUGUAUUGCUGUGAGCUUACGCAAGUUCCAGUACCAGUCCAGUGCUGGUCCUUCCAGCAAUACAUGAAAGCUUCGUAAAAGCUCAUUGAAGGGACAGCUGUAAUCUUGCCUCAAGACAUCCACUCGGAAAAUGAAAUCCUCCGCACUCAUGGACUUCGUCGACCCAUCAAAUUUUAUGCCCCAUUUGGACAAAUCUACCUUCCGCUGGGUGGAAAAUGGGUGCUCGUUUGGCAAACUAGGAGCUUGUGAAGACUGGGUUGGUGGAAAGACUGGAUUAUAGUUUAGGUUUGGAGGUGGAUACUGCGGCAACUGGUUAGCCGGCUGAGAGGCAUAUGGAAACUGGUUAAUAUUAACAGGUGUUUGUGGUGCCGCUGGCUGUGGAGGUGAUGCUUGCGAAACAGCACGUGAUAUGGCUUGAGAAAGCUCCUGCCGUAUAGCUUGAAUUUGUCUCUGCAUCUCCUCCCGUAUAAAAUUACACAUGUACAACCAUACCAAAACAAAACAUAAGGAAUUGGUGUUGCCAGAGUGGUAGCGGCGCUGGUAUGCUCGCGUUUGCAAGGCUUGGAGCUCGCCGGAUGGGGGUGGUUCUUGCUGCCACACUAGGCAUCUACACACACACAUAAAAAAAAAUUCAUACCAGCUUAAAAUAAAAUGAUAAAAAAAAGGAAGGGGCACCGAGUAGGUUUUUGUCUGUCUCCCUGCUGAAACAUACCUACGACCUAUAAUGGCUGGCAGAUGUUGUGCCAGGUAAAGCCCUCCCACUCGGGAUUGGAUAAUCCCGCCAUGACAUCCUAAUACUAGGGAUGUCCCAAAAUUUACCCUGCAAACUUUUCCUUUCCUUACUUACCGCCGCUUAUUUCGUUUA